UACGUAGGGGGCAAGCGUUGUCCGGAAUCAUUGGGCGUAAAGAGCGUGUAGGCGGCCAGAAAAGUCCGCUGUGAAAACUCGAGGCUCAACUUCGAGCUGUCGGUGGAAACUUUCUGGCUAGAGUCCGGAAGAGGAGAAUGGAAUUUCUGGUGUAGCGGUGAAAUGCGCAGAUAUCAGGAAGAACACCCGUGGCGAAGGCGGUUCUCUGGGACGGUACUGACGCUGAGACGCGAAAGCGUGGGGAGCGAACAGG
rnacentral:rRNA from 1 species